AUUGAACGCUGGCGGCAGGCCUAACACAUGCAAGUCGAACGAGUGGCGGACGGGUGAGUAAUGUCUGGGAAACUGCCUGAUGGAGGGGGAUAACUACUGGAAACGGUAGCUAAUACCGCAUACCAUCGGGUGUGCCCAGAUGGGAUUAGCUAGGAGGUGGGGUAACGGCUCACCUAGGCGACGAUCCCUAGCUGGUCUGAGAGGAUGACCAGCCACACUGGACCUGAGACACGGUCCAGACUCCUACGGUAGGCAGCAGUGGGGAAUAUUGCACAAUGGGCGCAAGCCUGAUGCAGCCAUGCCGGGUGUAUGAAGAAGGCCUUCGGGUUGUAAAGUACUUUCAGCGAGGAGGCGUUACUCGCAGAAGAAGCACCGGCUAACUCCGUGCCAGCAGCCGCGGUAAUAC
rnacentral:rRNA from 1 species